UUUUAUUCUUUGAUGAGUCGCAUAGUUCAUAUGAUCUUCCUGUGAUAAGUUGACUACAACUACGAAAAUGGUCUUUCGCUCCUAUCUGAAAAUGAAU